GGGCUCGUGGUGCAGCCUGGUUAGCACACUGGACUGUCAAUCCAGAGGUCGCGGGUUCAAAUCCCGUCGGGCCCGCCA
rnacentral:tRNA from 1 species